rnacentral:rRNA from 1 species
CCUACGGGUGGCAGCAGUGGGGAAUAUUGCACAAUGGGGGGAACCCUGAUGCAGCGACGCCGCGUGGGUGAAGAAGUAUUUCGGUAUGUAAAGCCCUAUCAGCCGGGAAGAAAAAUGCCGGUACCUGACUAAGAAGCACCGGCUAAAUACGUGCCAGCAGCCGCGGUAAUACGUAUGGUGCAAGCGUUAUCCGGAUUUACUGGGGGUAAAGGGAGCGCAGGCGGCACGCUAAGCCUGAUGUGAAAACCCGGGGCCCAACCGCGGGAGGGCAUUGGGAACUGGGGGGCUGGAGUACCGGAGGGGCAGGCGGAAUGACUAGUGUAGCGGUGAAAUGCGUAGAUAUUAGGAGGAACACCAGGUGCGAAGGCGGCCUGCUGGACGGAGACUGACGCUGAGGCUCGAAAGCGUGGGGAGCAAACAGGAUUAGAUACCCUAGUAGUC